ACCCGCUGAACUUAAGCAUAUCAAUAAGCGGAGGAAAAGAAACCAACAGGGAUUGCCUCAGUAACGGCGAGUGAAGCGGCAAUAGCUCAAAUUUGAAAUCUGGCUGUUUUGCAGUCCGAGUUGUAAUUUGUAGAGGAUGUUUCGGGCACCGCCCCGGUUUAAAUUUCUUGGAACAGAAUGUCAAAGAGGGUGAGAAUCCCGUCUUGAACCGGUGGUAGGGUCCAUGUGAAACUCCUUCGACGAGUCGAGUUGUUUGGGAAUGCAGCUCAAAAUGGGUGGUAAAUUUCAUCUAAAGCUAAAUAUUGGCCAGAGACCGAUAGCGCACAAGUAGAGUGAUCGAAAGAUGAAAAGCACUUUGAAAAGAGAGUUAAACAGUAUGUGAAAUUGUUGAAAGGGAAGCGCUUGCAACCAGACUUGAGCGCGGUGGUUCCCCCUUCCUUCUGGUUGGGUUAUUCCACCGUGUCCAGGCCAACAUCAGUUUUGGGGGCCGGUUAAAGACCUCGGGAAUGUAUCUAGUCCUUCGGGGCUAGACUUAUAGCCCGGGGUGUCAUGCGGCCUCCCGAGACUGAGGAACGCGCCUCGGCGAGGAUGUUGGCGUAAUGGUUGUCAGCGACCCGUCUUGAAACACGG
rnacentral:rRNA from 1 species